rnacentral:tRNA from 1 species
GCAUCCGUAGCUCAGCUGGAUAGAGUACUCGGCUACGAACCGAGCGGUCGGAGGUUCGAAGCAGUAAAAUAAAUUUCCCGAUGCA